UACGGGGGGAGCAAGCGUUGUUCGGAUUUACUGGGCGUAAAGGGCGCGUAGGCGGUCGUGACAAGUCACUUGUGAAAUCUCCGGGCUUAACUCGGAACGGUCAAGUGAUACUGUCGGACUAGAGUACAGAAGGGGCAACUGGAAUUCUCGGUGUAGCGGUGAAAUGCGUAGAUAUCGAGAGGAACACCUGCGGCGAAGGCGGGUCUCUGGGCCGAAACUGACGCUGAGGAAGCGAAAGCGUGGGGAGCAAACAGG
rnacentral:rRNA from 1 species